AACCUUGCGCUGUGGCAAUAUCGCCAACAAUGAGGUGACAACCGAGUUGCGAUUAUUGCUAGUUGAAAACUUUAACCAAUAACUCGCCCUCUGUGAGCCACGCCCACACUGAGGCAAUUUUUUUGAUGACUCGAAAGGGU
rfam:Drosophila mojavensis strain TSC#15081-1352.22 Ctg01_10599, whole genome shotgun sequence.